rfam:Burkholderiales bacterium 70-64 SCNpilot_expt_1000_bf_scaffold_374, whole genome shotgun sequence.
GCGACCCUGCAGUGUUCGACAAGGCCAUAUAUUCCUUGAACCAAUGCUCUGCAUCCAGGUCGCGGCUUCAUGCGCACCGCUGUUGCGAUCGUCCCUCGUCGGACGAACCUGAUGUGGUGCCUGCUGCGGCCGAACUGAACUGAACGGUUCAGGAUGCCGGUCUGCCGGCACAUGCGGGGUCCCC